UACGUAGGGUGCAAGCGUUAAUCGGAAUUACUGGGCGUAAAGCGCGUGUAGGCGGUUCGGUAAGUUGGAUGUGAAAGCUCCUGGCUUAACUGGGAGAGGUCGUUCAAAACUACCGGACUUGAGAGUGGUAGAGGGAGUUGGAAUUCCGGGUGUAGUGGUAAAAUGCGUAGAUAUCCGGAAGAACACCAGUGGCGAAAGCGGCUACCUGGACUGAUACUGACACUGAGGUGCGAAAGCGUGGGGAGCAAACAGGAUUAGAUACCCCAGUAGU
rnacentral:rRNA from 1 species